AUGUGGCAGCACUUCUCGGCUCUACGAAAUCCAUGGCUCAAAUCACACCGACGGGAACCACGCCCCGGCCGCCAACCUGCCUCCUUCCCGAUCCCAACCUCCCGAACCCUACCACGCCGCCAAGCCCGCCACCGCUCCGUUCCAUGGAUCCACUUCGCGACGGCCAGUUCUCGCGGCAGUCUCCGCCCGCUCUUCUCCUCCUGGUCCACCUCCCCCACCAAGCUCUCUCUCCUAGAUCAGCGGGAGCCGGAGCGGUUCCUGAGCCUGGUAUGCAAGGCACUAGGGCAGGCAAGCGGUUCUUGGCAUGGCAGCGCUGAUGCAGCAUGCUGGCUCACUUGCUCGGACCAAGGGGUGGCUCGUGCACCGCUCAUCCGUGUACGCCCUCAACUGCCUUCUCGGCUAGGUGCCGCCCGGACCACGCCUUUUCCGGCAGAUUCUCAAUCGUAUCGGUUUGUGCACUUAUAUACAGGCUGCAACGAGAAAAGUAAUCUUCUAUGGAGCGCCACCAAUCAAAGAUUGUGUUUGUACACCCUUGUUAAGAGAGAUGGCAGGACAUGCAUUGGCCCUUUCUACUUGGUACUUGAAUCAAAUGGACACCAAUGGACAAUUUAUUUAAACUCCACAUGUGGAUCAUUUACUUCAAGCUCACAUGUUACCAACCAGAUUGAUAGUGUGAUAGCACCCGGGAGCCCCGGCACCCCCUUGCUGUUCUCUGUCCAGCAGUGGUCUAUUUGCAGUCUCGGUUUAAUUAAGCAGCCUAUUUACCCAUACAAACGGUGCAGCUACGGUUCAGGACCUGGUGCAGAUCUCAAUGCGCUGGCUCUUACACGGACGAUUUACCUGGUAGGGCUGAAUCAGCUGUUCGACAUUCACAUUGAAAAGAUCAACAAGCCAGGUUUUCCAUUGGUAGCUAGGCGAUUUUCAGUAGCAACUGGAGUAUUCUUAGUGGUCACAUUCCUGAUCAUGCUUCCUUCUUGGAAGUGUUCCAUUGAGGUAAGUAGCACUUACCAUCAUGAGAAUGGGAAAGCUCCGAUGCUCCGGUGGGAACGACACACACUCCUCGCUGCAUCUUGUAUCCUAUUUGUGAGGGCUAUCAUGGUCCAAUUGGCUUUCUUUGCACAUAUGCAGUGUUUGAUGAUUCAUUUUGCAGUGACAUGUUCUGAAAAGGCCCUUGGCAGCAACAAAAUGACUGGUGUUUGCAACAUUGUCCUGUGUUGGUUCUCUGCCGUCAUAGCUAUAUUCAAGGAUAUUCCUGGCGUUGAUGGAGACCGAGACUUUGGCAUCACUAAAAGUGUAUCAGCUUUGCAGUGGAGCAUGUUGUUCGUCGUGGGUCGAACUGAGGCCAAGACUGAUGAGUUGAUGGCGAGAACAAACUACUACUCUACCCAGCAACUUAUACAGAGAUAUGGUCUUGACCCUGCUCAAGCUCAUCCACACCGUUGUCACUAUAGCUGCUUCUGCGAGUCUCUUGUCAUCUUCUUCGCCGCCGGCUUGGUAAAUCUCUCAGUUUACUUCUCCUCUUCCUCUCUUGAGCUCUGUAGAAAGUGGGCUAGGUGGGGAGGCGAGGGCGAAGUGCAGUCACCGCAUUCGCUUCCCACAGCUGUGGAUGACGACAAGGAGGUGGUGGGUGACAUGGGCAAACAGUGCUUGGAGGUCCAUGUUGCUUGUCUGCGUGUCUGCAUAGAGAAUUUUCUGUUGUUUGAUUUGGUUUUACUGGAACAAGGAGUGGCACUGCCCAAGCUCCCCAUUACACAUUGUAUUGAGUUAAUUGUCAUUGAGGCUGUGAGGAUGCAGGUACCGAAUAUGCUCACUAGGUUUGAUCUUGAACAUGCUGAGAGGAAAAAAAAGUUGAUGCACUACUCUGUAGCACCCAUGCGUCAACUCCUUCAAUUCCUAUUUGUUCAAUACAUCUUGAAAUUUUUGCUCUGGGAUUUGGUGGCUGCUUACAGUUUCGCGAGCUUGAGGAGGAACUAUCGGAUGGUUCAAGAUCCGGAGAGAAACGGUCAUGCGGGCUCGUUGAGCACCGUCGAUUAUGUUUGUUCCGGCCCUCACGCCAGCAAUGAGGAGCACACCACUGUGCCUUCAUGUCCUUACCGACACCUGCCUCAAGCCACUAAGCUCAACCCGUCUAUAAGUUUAGUGUUGGUUCUUCGUGUGCACAUCCAUCUCUCGGAUGGAUGGUUAAAGAUCAGGAAUGAGGCGGGGAGGAGGCUUACGAGGGCCAUAAUGAGGUUGGAGUCUCUAAAGAUUAUGGAAGUGGAGCACCGGGUCACUCUCCUCCAACUACAAUGGUUGUUUGGCCAACAGGGGUUAGAGAUGAAAUGGGAUAGGCGGUUGAUAGCGGCCAAGCUGGACAUGAGUAAAGCGUAUGAUCAUGUGGAGUGGAGUUUCCUUGAGAGGAUGAUGAACACUACAGGUUUUGCUCCUGCGUGGCAAGCCGAGAUUGAAAGACGAAGUGCGCUAAGCAUAAAUCACCUCUUUUUCACAAAUGACUCCUUGAUAGUUAUAGAAGCAACAACAACUAGUGCAGCAAGGCUUCAGGAUAUUCUUGCGAUGUAUGAGAUACAGUCGAAACAUAAAAUAAACAUGGACAAAUCUUCGACCUUCUUCAACAAGAAGACCGGCACCCACACCAAACAACAAGUGCUCCAAGUGCUUGGCAUCCUUGCCGAGUCACAUAACGAAAGGUAUCUUGGUUUGCCAGUUCAUCUUGCAGCUGCAAAGAGCAAAAAAAAAUAG
rnacentral:rRNA from 1 species